CUCUGUUACCGCCCCGUCACAUGCUUGCAUGCAGCCUUGACAGUGAAGUGUCCUUUUCUACCAAAAAUUCAAGAGAGGUCCGUGUAACUGCUCUUUGCCCUCCCCCUUCCUGUCUUCUUUGUUUUUUCUCUCGUCUCGCGCAGUAUCUCGCAGAGAGCACUCGAACUCCACGUUCUUUUUCCUUUUUUUCUUUCCUCUUCACUCUCCGUCGGCAAUCAUGGCGAACAAGAAGUCCUUCUACAACCAGGAGUACAGCAAGCACGUCGGUGCAGUGAUCUUAUUCAUCGUCUCCUUCGUGACGGCGACCUUUACGGUCUGCGGCACCCCUCUGGGUAUGCUGAUGAUCCGCUCGUGGGGAGAGGACCUUUCGGGCUCUAGUGCUGAACUGGAGCUCAAUCCGUGCUUCACGCUGUGGGGUUUGCACAGCGACUGCUCGAAGCCUGAUUACUCGCUUCGCAUCACGGACUCGCCCAUUGUCAACUGCUCUGACAUGCAUGUCCGCUUCGAGGCGGCUGAGGCGUUCAGCAUUUUGGCCAUCUUCUCUCUUGUUGGUCUCUUCGGCGCGUCCUGGUACAUGAUCUGCGGCUCCAAGAUCAAGAAGGCUGUGAUGUUGCUCGCCGUCUUCGCCAUCGGCUCCACGACUGUGCCAUGGGCGAUUGUUACCGCGUUCUACUACACUCCCUUCUGCGGCCUAGAUUUCCUGACCAACACGCAUACCCGCUUCGGCGCCGGCUACGCGCUGCUGGUUACCUCGUUCGUGCUGCAGAUUGUCGGCCUCAUCCUGUUCGUCAUCUUUGAGCCGGACACCUCGAAGAAGAGGCCGGAGGAGAACGAGAAGCGCGCCGCGUCUGAAGUCUGGUCCAGCACCGCGUCUGCGUUGCGCUAAAGCGAGUGAGCGAAGGGGAGAGAAGGAUAGCGCGCUCGAGGAGAAAGGAUGCCAUGCUUUCACGCGCAGACAGACAUGCAUCGGUAGUCGUCUUCACCGCUUUUUGUGGCGGUCUGUGCGCGCGUAUGUGUGUGUGUUUGUGUCAUUGUCGCAUCCCUCAUCAGCCUCUUUCCACAGCCCUCACCCCCACCCCCUUGAUGACGCUGCUCGGACGCGAGAGACGGCGUGAAUGGAGAGGGGUGGCGGUGGCUCUGAAGAAGGCGAAGUAACACACGCUCACACAGGUGCAUACAGCUCCGUCCCCUAAAGGGGCGCGGAUGCGCGAAGGCAGGUUAACGCGCGCGAUACUAUGUGCAGUGGGGCGGAGCGACUCCAGCACCUUUACCUGAGGAGAGAAAAAGAGGACAAGGUGGUGAGAUGAAAUAUGGCAGUGUGUACGGAUGCUCAUGUGUGCGCUUCCUCUCGAUGCGCUCACUCACACGGGCACCAUGCCCAGAAAAGAGUACAAGUACUCGAGCAGUGGCGGAUGCAGGGCGCGCCGACUAGGUAGGGUGGAUAGACCAGAGAGAGGUAAAAAGAUGGGGGAUGGGAUGGGGUAGGGUGGGAUGAGAGGAGCUGUGCCCUUUCCUGUAGCUCGUACUUGACGAAAGCUGUCGCUCACUCUCGCUUGUGUUUGCGCGCUUUCUAUCCAUCCACGGCCUGCUUCUUCGAGGAAACCUGCGCUCCGUUUCGAGUGCGGUGCUUUAACCCUCUUACAUCCUUUUUUUUUGCUGUUUGCUUCUGCUCUCGGUUAGAGGCAACAGCCGUGCAUCACACACACACACACACGACAAGUGCGCACACAGACAGAAAGCAUCGCCCCCGCUGAUUUCGCGACACGCUGGCCUAGUGGCCGCUGCUCAAAUCUUGCCCGCUCCUUUUUUUUGUUUCUUCUCUGUGUUCACGGCUGCACGUUGGUGGUCACUUCUAAAAUGCAUUAUAUGUUGUUAGUGGGUGAUGCGCUAAUCUGUGCGUGUGCUUCUGGUUCCUGUUUCCCUCCCACUUCUCGCGUUUUCAUUGCGUGCGGCGACAUUGCACACCCCUCCCUCCCCCUACCUCCGUACCACCACUGCCACUUUCUCCUCUCCGCCUCUUUCCAUUUCUUCCGUUCUUAG
rnacentral:misc_RNA from 1 species